UUAUAUUUUUUAUUAUACUAAAAAAAAUGGAACAAUACAGAGAAGAUUAGCAUGGCCCCUGACAUGCAAAUUCGUGAAACGUUCUGUUCUUUU
ensembl:snRNA U6 U6 spliceosomal RNA